CAGAGGGUGCGAGCGUUAAUCGGAUUUACUGGGCGUAAAGCGUGUGUAGGCGGUUCGUUAAGUCGGAUGUGAAAGCCCUGGGCUCAACCUAGGAAUUGCAUUCGAUACUGGCGAGCUAGAGUACGGUAGAGGGCGGCGGAAUUCCGGGUGUAGCGGUGAAAUGCGUAGAUAUCCGGAGGAACACCGAUGGCGAAGGCAACCGCCUGGGCCUGUACUGACGCUGAGACACGAAAGCGUGGGGAGCAAACAGGAUUAGAUACCCUGGUAGUCCACGCCGUAAACGAUGAGAACUUGACGUCGGUUUGCUCUGCGAAUCGGUGUCGAAGCUAACGCGCUAAGUUCUCCGCCUGGGGAGUACGGCCGCAAGGUUG
rnacentral:rRNA from 1 species